GACAGCAGCAGCCGCGGGAAUACAGAGGGUGCGAGCGUUAAUCGGAUUUACUGGGCGUAAAGCGUGCGUAGGCGGCUUCUUAAGUCGGAUGUGAAAUCCCUGAGCUUAACUUAGGAAUUGCAUUCGAUACUGGGAAGCUAGAGUAUGGGAGAGGAUGGUAGAAUUCCAGGUGUAGCGGUGAAAUGCGUAGAGAUCUGGAGGAAUACCGAUGGCGAAGGCAGCCAUCUGGCCUAAUACUGACGCUGAGGUACGAAAGCAUGGGGAGCAAACAGGAUUAGAUACCCCCGUAGUCCCUGUCUCUUAUAA
rnacentral:rRNA from 1 species